CCGCUACGGGACUCAACGGACGUACCGAGGGAACGCCCACGACUGGUCCUGCUCCUCAGGCCGGACGCGCCUCGCUUCGGCUCGGCCAAGCCCAAGGUUCCCACUGGCCCGGACCUUUGGUCCUGCCUUGCAACGGCUUCUGGAGGAAAGAUGCCAAGUUCCGAGCACCCCUAUGGAGAAACUGCUUCCUAUGGUAGCUAAAUAAAUAAGCAGAGAUGGAGUCUCCACCUUCAUCCCACUCCCAGCUGACCUCUUGAUUGCAACUUCAUGAGAGGUCCUGAAUGAGAACCAUCCAGAAAUCCUCUGCAGUGGCUGAAGAGUUGAUUCAGCAAGGAUGUCAUAGGAAUCACCAAGCAUAUCCCUUCUGAGUAUUUAUUGUUCACAGUGAUCUCUGUUUCCCUCUGAGAGGCUGUUGUUUUCCAGACUACACAGCUUGUCUUGGAGAGUGCUGGCGCUCACUGCUCCGCCAUUUCAGCUUCCUCACGUUCGUCGCUGCAUUAUUUAUAGAUAGAACUUUGAAGAAAAUAUUUGAAUAUGUCACGUAUGCAUUGAACAAGUACUGUUAACAGUGAACUUUGCUCUUACAGACUUGAUCAUGAGUUCCAUGAGUUUUUGCCAGAAGUCAAAGAGAAAUACCUUGAUUUGUCCCACCACGUGGAAAUGUAAAGACUUAUCAAAAUUUGGAGUUUUAGGGGCCAGGGAUUUAGCUCAGUGGUUCUCGCACCUGCCUCACAAGCACAAGGUCCUGAGUUCAAUCCCCGGUACUCAAAGAAAAAUUUUGAAGUUUUAGUACGAUACUUUGAACUCAGGGCCAAGAUUUAAUUUUUUUCUGAACAAAAAGAACCUGUUUGAUCCACUCUUCUAAAAUAGUGAAUGACUUUGGGAAUAAGAUUUUACUAUGGAUUUGAAAGUGUUUCUUAAUGCAUUUAAGUUAAUAGUAAAAGGCAAAAAGGUUCUUUUUUUUUUUUUGGUACCGGGGAUUGAACUUGGGUCCUUGCACUUGCGCAGCAGGCGGCAACCCCACUGAGCUAAAUCCCUGGGCCCAAAAUGGUUCUUAUAUGCAAAAUUGUAUUGUGG
rnacentral:lncRNA from 1 species